UGCAGAUGCAUAGAUGCACAGUAACAUGAAUCGUUGCAGCUCUGUGUGCUGGAAGGCAACAAGAGGACACAGAGAGUGUGAAAACAGGACAAUCGUGACCCUGAGGUCACCUGCAUCUGUUGGCGCCGAGGACUGGAUGCAGAUCACAGAUCAUGAAAACAACUGGUUAGGCCUCCUCAGCGGUGUUGAAUGUCAUGUGACAAGUGGGACCAACUAGCACAACACAUACCAGCGGGCAGCAAACAUGUGCAGCCAAUGAAGACUCUGCAUACAACUUGUCUGGGUGCCAUUGUACAAAGUGAUCUUAGCACUGAGUUCUGCUCCGGAACAAAACAUGAUGGGACAGAUGGACAGGAGGACGGACGGACGAACAGCACCCAUUCCUAUCUACCCCUUUAACUAUAUGGCGGGGGAUAAUAACAGCAGCUUUGUGGGCCAGCUGGAUGAACAGCCUGUGGCACUCAGACAGCAACUGUGACACCACUGCACUUUACACAAGAAGAACCAAACCUUGAGUCGAACCUGGACUGAUGUCCGGGUUGCUAUCAGCAAAAGUACUACACAAUAUGUAGCCCAGGUACCUUUCUGUUUUCACACAUGUAGCAUGGCUUGGUAACACAUAUGACACUGGAAUCUGGUGCCUGUUGAGAAUAGACUCCCCAACUUUAGUGCCCUUAAUAUUUCCAUACCAGGGUACAUUUCUGGACUAUUUUGGCUAGGGUACAUCUGUGUAUACAGAAAUGUGUUUGGGUACAUGUCUGUAGUACCUGUGCCAGCUAUGGCCAACAUGCAUUAAAACUAAUUGAACAAUAUUCUGUUUACAGGUAUCUGUGACUCAUAAAGAUUCUACCAAGUUGACUUUGGAACAUGUGUGGCAACACAGGGAUACAAUAUCAUAUGCCUUUCAAUCUGUAUUAACAGAGACGGUCUUUGGAGUAAAAAGGUGUACAAUUCUCAAAAAUCCGAAUUUGUACAAGGUACAAGGGUGGGUGUGGCUUGAAUUGUGCACAUGGAUGGUUGGGACACACCUCUGGGUACAAGGGUGGGUGUGGCUUGAAUUGUGCACAUGGAUGGUUGGGACACACCUCUGGGUACAAGGAUGGGUGUGGCUUGAAUUGUGCACAUGGAUGUUUGGGACACACCUCUGGGUACAAGGAUGGGUGUGGCUUGAAACGGGAGCACAUGGAUGUUAGGGACACACCUCUGGG